rnacentral:lncRNA from 1 species
AGUCUUCAAUUUCAGAAAGGGAAAACACAGGCAGUCAAAAGUUGUGAGCAGAAAGACAUCUUUAGAGUCUGUCAAAUCAUUUCAUUUUAAGCUCUUCAUUUCACAGUUGUGUCAUGUAAGGUACCUUAAUUACAGAAUCCUUUCCUUUUCCUAAUUAAAUAUUGUAAUACAGUCAAGGAUCUUAAUUCUUUAGGCAUUUCAUAAUGUGUUCAAGAGCACUUAAUAUUUUGAACUUAGGGCACAUAAAAAGUUGAUUUUAAAAUUAAAGGGACAGUGGUAUUAUAUAAGAGCUGUAGUCAAGUAAUGAGAACGCUGGGCAUGCUGGGUGCCUUUAUUGCUCCAAUCUGUUGAGAGAGAAUGAAAAGAAGAAAUUGCGAAAAAAUUUGGGAGACUGUCUAUAGUUAGCUCUAGAAUGUGCUUUUUAAAAGGAAGUAUUUGAUCUCUUAAGGAUACUUAGUGAUAGCUUCUUUAAUAAUUGUGAUCUUUCAUUGCUGAUCUAUUAU